GGAGGNUUUUCUAAACUCUUAUUUAAAUAUUUCUUAGCUGAAGGAGUUUAUCAUAAAAAUGGUAUUUUUGCGUCAAGUUUGACCCAGGAUCCGGUUUCUAUUGUU